rnacentral:rRNA from 1 species
AUGAUCCAAAUUAUGCCAUUCCGAGUUCGUGGAAGGACUCCUGAUGAUGUGAUGACACCUAGGCAGGGUUUGCAACUACUGAUACAGACCAAUAUUUUGCAACAUUGGCCAGAUGAUAUUGAACUAGCGCACUUCAAUGCAUUCCUCAUUAACCCAAAUAUAAACAUAAGGAAACAAGAUGUCCUCGAUCAUCCAUUCCUAGUCACAGUCCCCCACGUUAGGGAGAGCAAGUAUAAAAGAUUAUAUGAAAAAGGAAUUUUUUUUACCGAUGACCAAAUAGAUUGGUUGGAGAAACAUAUCUUCUUACAGGGGUGGCAACGCAAUGUUGGAGACCCGUCUCUUACAGCGAUUCUGGACCAUCAAAUUGAAGUUACCCGGGGGGUGGGGUUUGCUCAAACAGUUUUUGGAGCCUUGCACUUUGCCAAAGUAGUCAUAGCUCAUUAUCACCAGUAUGAUAUUAAUAGGCGGCCUCUUCUUGAUGAUGAUCUCAGGCAUUUUCUGCAAGGACUUCUUACUGGAGUAUAUGGUGCUAGGUUUAAUGAGGAAUUUAUUGCUUUGGGCCUGAAGCUUAAUGAGGAAUUUAUUGCUGAGGACCCGGCGCUUAAUGAUGAAUUUAUUGCAGAGGGCUAG